rnacentral:rRNA from 1 species
CAAUAGCGUAUAUUAAAGUUGUUGCAGUUAAAAAGCUCGUAGUUGGAUUUCGGGAUGGCACUGCCGGUCCGCCGCAAGGUGUGUCACUGGCCGGGCUGUUCUUCUUCGCAAAGACUGCGUGUGCUCUUAACUGAGUGUGCGGAGAAUUUGUGACGUUUACUUUGAAAAAAUUAGAGUGUUCAAAGCAGGCCAGCGCUUGAAUACAUAAGCAUGGAAUAAUGGAAUAGGACUUUGGUUCUAUUUUGUUGGUUUCUGGAACCGAAGUAAUGAUUAAGAGGGACAGUUGGGGGCAUUCGUAUUUCAUUGUCAGAGGUGAAAUUCUUGGAUUUAUGAAAGACGAACUACUGCGAAAGCAUUUGCCAAGGAUGUUUUCAUUAA